rnacentral:tRNA from 6 species
AUUAGCUCAGUCGGUAGAGCAUCUGACUUUUAAUCAGAGGGUCGAAGGUUCGAGUCCUUCAUG